rnacentral:misc_RNA from 1 species
UCACAGUUUACACUGGCAGUCUUGUUAGAGUUCCCGACAUGACUCGCUGGCAACUAACAACAGGGGUUGCGCUCGUUAUAGGACUUAACCUGACACCUCACGGCACGAGCUGACGACAGCCAUGCAGCACCUCGACUCCACUCCCUUGCGGGAUAGCGAUGUUUCCACCGCCGUUAGGAAGCCGUUCGAGCCCAGGUAAGGUUCUUCGCGUUGCGUCGAAUUGAACCACAUGCUCCACCGCUUGUGCGGGCCCCCGUCAAUUCCUUUGAGUUUCAGCCUUGCGACUGUACUCCCCAGGCGGCAUAUUUAACGCGUUAGCUCCGGCACAGAUCAACUGAAUGACCUACACCAAAUAUGCAACGUUUACGGCGUGGACUAC